rnacentral:rRNA from 1 species
UUCAGAUGUGGGCAAUAAUGCAGUCGAGCGAAUUGAUGGGAGCUUGCUCCCUGAUAUCAGCGGCGGACGGGUGAGUAACACGUGGGUAACCUGCCUGUAAGACUGGGAUAACUCCGGGAAACCGGGGCUAAUACCGGAUAAUUCAUUUCCUCGCAUGAGGAAAUGUUGAAAGGUGGCUUCUGGCUCUCCUUUACAAAGGGACCCCCGCCCCAUUACCUAUUUGGGAAGGUACCGGUUCACCAAGGCACCAAUCCUAACCCAACCUGAAAGGGGGAUCGGCCCCCCGGGAACGAAAACACGGCCCAAACCCCUCCGGAAGGCACCAUUAGGAAACCUCCCCCAUGGAACAAAAUUCUAACGAACCACCCCCCCUGGAUUGAUAAAGGUUUUCGAACCGAAAACCUCUGUUGUAAGGAAAAACCAAUGGCCUUUCAAUUAGGGGGGCCCCUUGCCGGUCCCUAACCAAAAACCCCCGGUUAAUUACUGGCCACCACCCCCGGAAAUACUUAGGUGGCAACCUUUGCCCGAAAUUAUGGGCCGUAAACCCCCCCCAGGGGGUUCCUUAAUCCUAAGGUGAAACCCCCCGGUUCACCCUGGAAGGGCCUUUGAAAACUGGGGAACUUGAUUGCAAAAAAGAAAAUGGAAUUUCCAAUUGUACCGUUAAAUUGCUAAAAUAUUUGAAGAACCACCAUUGCCAAAGGCAACUUUCGGGCCUGAACCUGACACUGAGGCCCGAAACCUUGNGAACCAAACAGAAUAAAAUACCCGGUAAUUCACACCCGAAACCAAUAAUUGCUAAAUGUUAGGGGGGUUCCGGCCCCUUAUGGCUGCACCUAACCCAUUAACCAUUCGCCU